rnacentral:rRNA from 1 species
UUGGAGGGCAAGUCUGGUGCCAGCAGCCGCGGUAAUUCCAGCUCCAAUAGCGUAUAUUAAAGUUGUUGCAGUUAAAAAGCUCGUAGUUGAAUUUCGAGGUCAGUAGGUCGGUCGUGCCAUCGGUAUGCACUGGCGUCACUGAUUCCUCCCUCUUGCAGAACCGUGAUGUCAUUAAGUUGGUGUGCGGCAUCAGACGUACCGUUACUUUGAAAAAAUUAGAGUGUUUAAAGCAGGC